GAGGGGCUGGCGGGCAUGGGUAGUGGGGGCACCCACGUUUCAGGGAGCUGUGUCCAUCCCAGUGUACCCCCGCAGCUGGAGCCGAACGUGGCGCGCGUGGGGCGCGUGGCAUCGCGGCUGUGCCAGGAGCUGCGGCUGGCACGGCCGCCCGUGUGCCGCCAGGCCGUGCAGCUGUUCCAGCGCGACGUGGUGGCGGCCUGGGCGCGCUCAGUGCUGCGGCCGCCUGAGGCCUGCGGGCUCCUGCUGGGCCCCCGCUGCGGCCACUGGGACAUCCUGGGCGCCUGGAACCUGUCCCUGCCCGCCGCCCCCAAGCCGCCGGUGCGGCCCCCCCUGCCGCCGCCGCCCGGUGCGCCCACCGCCCGCAUCCUGUUCCUCACUGACCUGCACUGGGACCGCCGGUACACGCCCGGCAGCGCUGCCGCCUGCCCCGACCCACUGUGCUGCCGCGGGGCCCCCCACGACGGGCCGGGGGCCGCGGGGUUCUGGGGCACCUAUGGCAAGUGCGACCUGCCCCUGCACACCAUCGACGCGCUGCUGGCACAGCUCCCCAACGCCAGCAGCCGCACCAGCGACGGCUCCGGCGACGCCAGUAACGGCACCGGAGGGUUCGCGGCCGCGUACUGGACCGGGGACAUCCCCGCGCACGACGUGUGGCAGCAGAGCCGCGGGGACCAGCUGCGGGCACUGCGCACGGUGACGGCCCUGCUGCGCGCCCGCCUCGGGGGGCUGCGCGUCUUCCCGGCCGUGGGCAACCACGAGGCCACCCCGGUGAACGCCUUCCCCCCGCCCUACGUGCGUGGGAACCAGUCGGCCGCCUGGCUCUACGACGCCAUGGCCGAGGCCUGGCAGGGCUGGCUGCCCCCCGCCGCCCUGCGCACCCUGCGGGCCGGUGGGUUCUACACAGCGCAGGUCUGGCCCGGGCUGCGCCUCGUCUCCCUCAACAUGAACUUCUGCUCCCAGGCCAACUUCUGGCUCCUCAUCAACGCCACUGAUCCCGCAGGGCAGCUCCAGUGGCUCAUGGGGGUCCUGGCAGAUGCUGAGCGUGAUGGGGAGAAGGUGCACAUCAUUGGGCACAUCCCCCCGGCCCACUGCCUGCACAGCUGGAGCUGGAACUACUACCGCAUCAUCAGCAGGUUCGAGGGCACCAUCGCAGCACAGUUCUUCGGGCACACACACCUGGAUGAGUUCGAGCUGUUCUACGAUGAGGAGACGCUGUCACGCCCUGUCUCCAUCGCCUUCGUGGCACCGAGUGUCACCACCUACAUCAACCUCAACCCUGGGUACCGCGUGUACGAGGUGGCUGGUUCCUACCCUGGGAGCUCCCACGCAGUGCUGGACCAUGAGACCUUCAUCCUGAACCUGACGGAGGCCAACGCGGCCCCCCCGGGGACGCCCCCCCGCUGGCAGCGGCUCUACGGCGCGCGCGAGGCCUACGGGCUGCCCGCGGCCUUCCCGGCCGACUGGGACCUGCUGGUGCGGCGGCUGCAGGACGACGAGCGGCUCUUCCAGCGCUUCUGGUUCCACCUGCACAAGGGGCACCCUCCCCGCGAGCCCUGCGGGGGCCCCUGCAAGGCCGCCCUGCUCUGUGCCCUGCGCUCCGGCCGCGCCGGCGACCCCGCGCUCUGCCGGCCCCUGCGCCCCGCCCUGCCCUUCCCACGCAUUCAGGAGCUCUGGCGACAGCGGCGGCUCUGCUGACACCGGCACACUGGGAGCGGGGUUGGAGUCGGCACAUGGUCACACUGGGAGCGGGCGGGGUUGGAGUCAGCACAUGGUCACACUGGGAGCGGGGCCGGGAGCGGGGUCGGCACAUGGUCAUGCCAGGACUGGGUUCGGUACUGGCACGUGGUCCUCGCGUCUCACCAGAUGCACAAUAAAGGCACAGUGGGCCCCACCAUCCCUCCCCA